rnacentral:siRNA from 1 species
UGCCUCUCAACUACUGAGUGA